rnacentral:rRNA from 1 species
UGGGGAAUAUUGCACAAUGGGCGCAAGCCUGAUGCAGCCAUGCCGCGUGUGUGAAGAAGGCCUUCGGGUUGUAAAGCACUUUCAGCGAGGAGGAAGGUGGUGAGCUUAAUACGCUCAUCAAUUGACGUUACUCGCAGAAGAAGCACCGGCUAACUCCGUGCCAGCAGCCGCGGUAAUACGGAGGGUGCAAGCGUUAAUCGGAAUUACUGGGCGUAAAGCGCACGCAGGCGGUUUGUUAAGUCAGAUGUGAAAUCUCCGGGCUCAACCUGGGAACUGCAUUUGAAACUGGCAAGCUAGAGUCUCGUAGAGGGGGGUAGAAUUCCAGGUGUAGCGGUGAAAUGCGUAGAGAUCUGGAGGAAUACCGGUGGCGAAGGCGGCCCCCUGGACGAAGACUGACGCUCAGGUGCGAAAGCGUGGGGAGCAAAACAGGAUUAGAUACCCUGGUAGUCCACGCUGUAAACCGAUGUCGAUUUGGAGGUUGUGCCCCUUGAGGCGUGGCUUCCGGAGCUAACGCGUUAAAUCGACCGCCUGGGGAGUACGGCCGCAAGGUU